rnacentral:rRNA from 1 species
AGUGAACGCUGGCGGUAGGCCUAACACAUGCAAGUCGAACGGCAGCACAGUAAGAGCUUGCUCUUACGGGUGGCGAGUGGCGGACGGGUGAGGAAUACAGCGGAAUCUACUUUUUCGUGGGGGAUAACGUAGGGAAACUUACGCUAAUACCGCAUACGACCUACGGGUGAAAGCAGGGGAUCUUCGUACCUUGCGCGAUUGAAUGAGCCGAUGUCGGAUUAGCUAGUUGGCGGGGUAAAGGCCCACCAAGGCGACGAUCCGUAGCUGGUCUGAGAGGAUGAUCAGCCACACUGGAACUGAGCCACGGUCCAGACUCCUACGGGAGGCAGCAGUGGGGAAUAUUGGACAAUGGGCGCAAGACUGCUCCAGCCAUACCGCGUGGGUGCAGCAGGCCUUCGGGUUGUAAAGCCCUUUUGUUGGGAAAGAAAAGCAGCAGGUUAAUACCCCGCUGUUCUGACGGUACCCAAAGAAUAAGCACCGGCUAACUUCGUG